GAGAGAGGCCCGACGGCCGCAGAAACUGCUAAUCUCCUGCCCCCGGGGUUAAACCCCCCGGCUCACUCG
rnacentral:tRNA from 1 species